UGAGCAAUCUGCCCUUCUCUUCGGAAUAAGCGUUGGAAACGAUGUCUAAUGCCGAAUACGACCUCCUUUCGCAUGAUCGGAGGUGGAAAGCUCCGGCGGAGAAGGAUGAGCUCGCGGCCUAUCAGCUAGUUGGUGUGGGUAAUGGCCCACCAAGGCGACGACGGGUAGCCGGCCUGAGAGGGUGACCGGCCACACUGGGACUGAGACACGGCCCAGACCUCCGUACGGGAGCAG
rnacentral:rRNA from 1 species